GGCAACCGAUGCGUUAGCCGGACUGAGAGGGGUGAUUCGGCCACACUUGGAACUGAGAACACGGCCCAGACUCCUACGGGAGCAGCAGUUAGGGAAUCUUCGCCAAUGGACGAAAGGUCUACGGAGGCACGCCGCGUGAAGUGAAUGAAGAGUUUUCGGAUCGUAAACUUCUGUUGUAGAGGAAGGACCAAGUACAAGAGGUAACUGCUUGUACCCUGACGGUACCUAACCAGAAAAGCACGGCUAACUACGUGCCAGCAGCCGCGGUUAUACGUAGGUGACAAGCGUGUCCGGGAAUUAUUGGGCGUAAAGCGCGCGCAGGCGGUCCUUUAAGUCUGAUGUGAAAGCCCACGGCUCAACCGUGGAGGGUCAUUGGAAACUGGGGGACUUGAGUGCAGAAGAGAAGAGUGGAAUUCCACGUGUAGCGGUGAAAUGCGUAGAGAUGUGGAGGAACACCAGUGGCGAAGGCGACUCUUUGGUCUGUAACUGACGCUGAGGCGCGAAAGCGUGGGGAGCAAAACAGGAUUAGAUACCCUGGUAGUCCACGCCGUAAACGAUGAGUGCUAAGUGUUAGAGGGUUUCCGCCCUUUAGUGCUGCAGCAAACGCAUUAAGCACUCCGCCUGGGGAGUACGGCCGCAAGGCUGAAACUCAAAGGAAUUGACGGGGGCCCGCACAAGCGGUGGAGCAUGUGGUUU
rnacentral:rRNA from 1 species